CACAGCGUGUAGACAAUGGAGCGAUAUCCGCACAUCGAGAAAGUGAUGAGAAUGAAGCAAGGGAAGUCCAGCCACGCAGGAGAUCCUGCAAGCAAGCUCAGUCGGAAUGUGGAAUAUCAAACGCAACUGGGAAAUGAAGGAGCAGCACGGAUGAGAGAAGGAAAACCGGUAAGGAUGACUCAGCUGGCAAGAACUUGACGGAAGGAACUGCAAGAGACGGUUAAAAGGAGAUCAAACAGCCCGCACUGGUUCUCUCUUGAUAAAGCGGAAUGCAGCUUGAACAGGAUAUGCACUGUGUCUGUAAGCGA
rnacentral:lncRNA from 1 species